CCCCGGUGUCCCAGCUGUCCCGGGUGCCCCCAGGUGUCCCCAGGUGUCCCAGGCACCCCCAGGUGUCCCCAGCUGUCCCAGGUGCCCCCAGGUGUCCCAGCUGUCCCAGGUGCCCCCAGGUGUCCCCAGGUGUCCCAGGCACCCCCAGGUGUCCCCAGGUGUCCCAGGUGUCCCAGGUGUCCCCAGGUGUCCCAGGUGUCCCCAGGUGUCCCCAGGUGUCCCCAGGUGCCCCCAGGUGUCCCCAAAAUCCCUCCUCAUCUUCUUGAGGCCAGCACAGAAGCGCCGAAUCAUUUCUCCACGGAGAUGUGACCCCAAAACCUCCCUGACCCCAAAUCCCCAGGUGUCCCCAGGUGCCCCCAGGUGCCCCCAGGUGUCCCCAGGUGUCCCCCAGGUGUCCCCAGGUGCCCUCCUGACCUUCUUGAGGCCGACGCAGAAGCGCCGGAACACCUCCUUCAUGUUGCCGCCCUUCUCCAUGGAGAUGACGCGCAGGUGAUCCUCCUCGACCUUCUUGAGGCCGACGCAGAAGCGCCGGAACACCUCCUUCAUGUUGCCGCCCUUCUCCAUGGAGAUGACGCGCAGGUGAUCCUCCUCGUUCACCCACACCAGGAAGGUCUUGUUGUCGUGUGCCCAGGUGUGCCCAGGUGUGCCCAGGUGUGCCCAGGUGUGCCCAGGUGUGCCCAGGUGUGCCCAGGUGUGCCCAGGUGUGCCCAGGUGUGCCCAGGUGUGCCCAGGUGUGCCCAGGUGUGCCCAGGUGUGCCCAGGUGUCCCAAGGUGGUCCCAAAGUGUCACCAAGGCGGCCUCAGGUGGCCCCAAGGUGGCCCCAGGUGGGAUCCAGGUGUUCCCAGGUGUGUCCAGGUGUCCCCAAAGUGUCCCAAGGUGGUCCCAAAGUGUCCCUAAGGUGGCCUCAGGUGUUCCCAGGUGGGAUCCAGGCGUCCUAAAGUGGCCCCAGGUGUGCCCAGGUGUCCCCAAAGUGUCCCCAAGGUGGCCCCAGGUGUCCCCAAGGUGUCCCCAAGUGUCCCGAAGUGUCCCCAGGUGGUCCCAAGGUGGUCCCAGGUGUCCCCAGGUGACCUCAAAGUGUCCCAAAGUGUCCCCAGGUUGGACCCAGGUGUGCCCAGGUGCCCCUCAGGUGCUUUCAGUUCCCCCCAGGUGCCCCCAAAAUGCCACCAAGGUGUGUCCAGGUGUGCCCAGGUGUGCCCAGGUAUCCCCAGGUGCCCCCACAAUGCCGCCAGGUGUGCCCAGGUGCCCCCAGGUGGGGGGGGGGGGGGGGGGGGGGGGGGGGGGGGGGGGGGGGGGGGGGGGGGGGGGGGGGGGGGGGGGGGGGGGGGGGGGGGGGGGGGGGGGGGGGGGG
rnacentral:lncRNA from 12 species